UCUGGGCGUAAAGGCGCGGCCGCAGGUCGGUCUGUUAGUCUGAUGUGAAUGCCCCGGCUCACCUGGGAGCGUCAUUCGAAACUGUGAGCUUGAGUGCAGAAAGAGGAGGAGGUGGUAUUUCAUCGUGUAGCGGUGAAAUGCGUAGAUGAUGUGGAAGGAACACCAGUGGCGAAGGGCGACCCUCCUGGUCUGUAACUGACGCUGAGGCGCGAAAGCGUGGGGAGCGAACAGGAUUAGAUACCCUGGUAGUCCACGCCGUAAACGAUGAGUGCUAAGUGUUAGAGGGUUUCCGCCCUUUAGUGCUGCAGCAAACGCAUUAAGCACUCCGCUUGGGGAGUACGGUCGCAAGAUUGAAACUCAAAGGAAUUGAGGGGGGCCCCCCCAAGCGGUGGAGCAUGUGGUUUAAUUGGAAGCAACGGGAAGACCCUUACCAGGUCUUGACAUCUUAUGACAACCCUAGAGAUAGGGGUUCCCCUUCGGGGGCAGAGUGACAGGUGGUGCAUGGUUGUCGUCAGCUCGUGUCGUGAGAUGUUGGGUUAAGUCCCGCAACGAGCGCAACCCUUGAUUUUAGUUGCCAGCAUUCAGUUGGGCACUCUAAGGUGACUGCCGGUGACAAACCGGAGGAAGGUGGGGAUGACGUCAAAUCAUCAUGCCCCUUAUGACCUGGGCUACACACGUGCUACAAUGGGCGGAACAAAGGGCAGCCAAGCCGCGAGGUUAAGCCAAUCCCACAAAUCUGUUCUCAGUUCGGAUCGCAGUCUGCAACUCGACUGCGUGAAGCCGGAAUCGCUAGUAAUCGCGGAUCAGCAUGCCGCGGUGAAUACGUUCCCGGGCCUUGUACACACCGCCCGUCACACCACGAGAGUUUGUAACACCAGAAGUACGGUGUGUUAACCUUAGGAGCCAGCCUCCGAAGGGGGGGACACAGGAUU
rnacentral:rRNA from 1 species